AAAAGGUCUUAGGCCGUGUUCACACCAAACGCCGUGUAGAGUAAACAUGUUUACAAUUAGUUUAGUGUAGUGUACACUGGUUUCACAUUACAUUUGUUCACAUCUAUACACCUUGUUUAGCUACCUGUACAUAAGAUUUGUUCCCACUUGUAAACUAUAUGUCAUUUUAAUGUUCAUUACGUAGAACUGAAUUCAAAAUUUUUGGAAAAUUUUUCUAGCGGUAAGGGAACAACCAUUUGACUUCAAAAGGGGGUGGGGGAUGGGAAUGGAAAUAUUCCGAUCCCCAAUUUGAUAAAAAAAAAAAUGGUCAUACAGAUGAUAAAAAAAAUAUUCUGAAUCAAGAGUUUCCCCAUACAUUAUAUGCGCAUCUGGUGCAAGAAAAUUGGUACCGUUAAUUUUAUUAUAGUGUUAAAUAUUGAAGAAAAAGUAUUUGAUCACCAGCAUCGGAAAAAAAGGAAUAAAAACGUACGCGCGAAAAAAAAUCUGACUCAGAUAAAAAAAAAUAACCCUCCCCCUUUUUUUUAAGUUAAGUGGUUGUUACUUUAUGAAAGCCAUUUUUAUAUAAUUUGCAGUAGUUUGAAUAUACUAGAGAUGUCUGGAUAACGCAUUAGAAAACGUUAGCUGCAACAGCGUGCUUACAGCCGGG
rnacentral:lncRNA from 1 species